rnacentral:misc_RNA from 1 species
GAUGAAGAACGUAGCGAAAUGCGAUACGUAAUGUGAAUUGCAGAAUUCAGUGAAUCAUCGAGUCUUUGAACGCACAUUGCGCCCUUUGGUAUUCCGAAGGGCAUGCCUGUUCGAGCGUCAUUAUCACCCCUCAAGCCCUCGGCUUGGUGUUGGACGGUUUGGUGGAGGCCCCCUCGGGGGUUCCUGCCCCUCCCAAAGACAAUGACGGCGGCCUCGUUGGACCCCCGGUACACUGAGUUCUUCACGGGACACGUAUCGGACACAUGGGUUUACGGGACACGGUCUGCCUCCCCUCAGGGAGAAUCUUUCUAAGGUUGACCUCGGAUCAGGUAGGGAUACCCGCUGAACUUAAGCAUAUCAAUAAGCGGAGGA